UUCCCCAUUAUUAAGAUGGGUCCCAUGACUAUACUGAACACCUAGAUGGGUUUACAAAUCAUGUAAUCUUCUCUGUAGAGACAGCUGACUUGAAUGACAGCCUGGUGGUCCUGAGCCCUGGUUCCUGUGCUCAGGGUCAUACGAUUGGCAGAGCCUAAUUGAUCAUGGAGAAGAAACACACAAAGAAAACAGACAAGACAUUGACAAAGCAGAGACUCGACCUCCUUUCAUCUUUAUCCUGGAAAAAAAAAGUGCCACAUGAUGCUUUUUGGAGCUGAUGAACCAAAGGAGAAGUUGAAUUAAAAUUUUAAAUCUGGA